rnacentral:rRNA from 1 species
UACAGAGGUCUCAAGCGUUGUUCGGAUUCAUUGGGCGUAAAGGGUGUGUAGGUGGCGCGCUAAGUCGGGUGUGAAAUUUCGGAGCUUAACUCCGAAACUGCAUUCGAUACUGGCGUGCUUGAGGACUGGAGAGGAGACUGGAAUUCAUGGUGUAGCAGUGAAAUGCGUAGAGAUCAUGAGGAAGACCAGUGGCGAAGGCGGGUCUCUGGACAGUUCCUGACGUGAGGCACGAAGGUCAGGGGAGCAAACGGG